rnacentral:lncRNA from 1 species
AAGAAAUGUGCUGAAUAAUAAAAUGUGUAUUUACUAAAAGAACCUUGAAGCUAACAAUACUAACUACUCAAAAUGGCUGCCAAAGCACCCCUCCCAUCCAGUGAACACCUCGUGCUAACAAGAUGGCGCCUACAUCUUGUGUCCACUCCCGUGUCAAGGAUGACAUCACCUCUUGAUAGGAAGGCAUCUAACUAACCACUUAACACCUGGACCAAUCAAUAGUGUUUAUUUGCUGUUAUCUUGAAUUCUUCAGUGAUGUAAAAAUGCCUUUAUAAGGGUCUGCGCACCCAUUUUCUGUUAGAAGCCAUUAAACUUUUC